rnacentral:rRNA from 1 species
AUGAACGCUGGCGGCGUGCCUAAUACAUGCCAGUCGCGCGAACAGACGAGGAGCUUGCUCCUCUGACGUUAGCGGCGGACGGGUGAGUAACACGUGGAUAACCUACCUAUAAGACUGGGAUAACUUCGGGAAACCGGAGCUAAUACCGGAUAAUAUAUUGAACCGCAUGGUUCAAUAGUGAAAGACGGUUUUGCUGUCACUUAUAGAUGGAUCCGCGCCGCAUUAGCUAGUUGGUAAGGUAACGGCUUACCAAGGCAACGAUGCGUAGCCGACCUGAGAGGGGGAUCGGCCACACUGGAACUGAGACACGGUCCAGACUCCUACGGGAGGCAGCAGUAGGGAAUCUUCCGCAAUGGGCGAAAGCCUGACGGAGCAACGCCGCGUGAGUGAUGAAGGUCUUCGGAUCGUAAAACUCUGUUAUUAGGGAAGAACAAAUGUGUAAGUAACGAUGCACGUCUUGACGGUACCUAAGCAGAAAGCCACGGCUAACUACGU